UCUCACCCCCAAGCUGUCCGAGAUGCAUAUGUCCAUCAUUUUUCAGACUAAGACAUUUUCAGUUAUUUUAGAAAAUGUUUUAGAUCUUUCAGUUUAUCAAAUGUAAAGUUCGAAUAGAGCUUUAAGAGAGAGUAUCAGUGUAGCGUACGCACUUUUCUUAGUGACGUAUGACAAAUUCGGAGGGCGGGGGCAAAGAUCAGCAGCACAGAACCGUUACCGGAAGCUAGUUUUCGUUUAUAAAGUUUUAAAUUUUGAUAUUUCUACAUAUUUCUACAACAAAACGGCACGGAUUACCCCCAGAAAGCCUUUGUUUAUCAUCGUGGAGCCGUUUGGAUUUCUUUUGUGAAGGAUGGAUGCACAUUUUUUUGGACUUGAAGGACAUGGACACCGUAACUUUACAUUAGACUUCACUACACGUCGUGCCUAACAACGCCCCUUAGCUGUUAUAAAAUGCACUGGUAACUCACUGCUUCAUGGGGCUUAUUGCUUUAUUUUGGCCGAACUAUAUCUCUUUAAUAAUAUCCUGUAGUGUGUGAUGGGCCAUGUUUUCAAAUUGUGAGCAUGUUUAAGAUUUGAGAGAAUAUCUGUCAAGAGUCUCUGUAUGUGUGUGCUGCAGCCAGCUUUCAUAAUCGCCCAGGAUUUUAAAAAUCUUGUAGUGUGAGCCCAGCUUUACCAAACUGAACCUUUUAUAAUACAUUUCAACAAAUUUUCCAGCUGAAGCUGUAACGUCCACAACUAAAACCAAAGCUGUUUCAACAUCAACCACCACUGUGGGUACUACAACAACAGUCAUGACAACUUCUGUUCCUCUGACCACUGAUAUUUCAGGGACAACUCCGGAAGAUAAAGGUUCU